rnacentral:rRNA from 1 species
AUACGGAGGGUGCAAGCGUUAAUCGGAAUUACUGGGCGUAAAGCGCGCGUAGGCGGCUUGAUAAGUCGGAUGUGAAAUCCCCGGGCUCAACCUGGGAAUUGCAUUCGAUACUGUCAGGCUAGAGUGUGGUAGAGGGAAGUGGAAUUUCCGGUGUAGCGGUGAAAUGCGUAGAUAUCUGAAAGAACACCAGUGGCGGAGGCGGCUUCCUGGACCAACACUGACGCUGAGGUGCGAAAGCGUGGGGAGCAAACAGGAUUAGAUACCCGUGUAGUCC